rnacentral:rRNA from 1 species
GCAGUAGCCACGGUAAUACAGAGGGUGCGAGCGUUAAUCGGAUUUACUGGGCGUAAAGCGUGCGUAGGCGGCUUUUUAAGUCGGAUGUGAAAUCCCUGAGCUUAACUUAGGAAUUGCAUUCGAUACUGGGAAGCUAGAGUAUGGGAGAGGAUGGUAGAAUUCCAGGUGUAGCGGUGAAAUGCGUAGAGAUCUGGAGGAAUACCGAUGGCGAAGGCAGCCAUCUGGCCUAAUACUGACGCUGAGGUACGAAAGCAUGGGGAGCAAACAGGAUUAGAUACCCCAGUAGUCCCUGUCUCUUAUAA